GAUGAACGCUAGCGGCAGGCCUAAUACAUGCAAGUCGGACGGGAUCCAUCGGAGAGCUUGCUCGAAGAUGGUGAGAGUGGCGCACGGGUGCGUAACGCGUGAGCAACCUACCUCUAUCAGGGGGAUAGCCUCUCGAAAGAGAGAUUAACACCGCAUAACAUCAACAGUUCGCGUGUUCGGUUGAUUAAAUAUUUAUAGGAUAGAGAUGGGCUCGCGUGACAUUAGCUAGUUGGUAGGGUAACGGCUUACCAAGGCGACGAUGUCUAGGGGCUCUGAGAGGAGAAUCCCCCACACUGGUACUGAGACACGGACCAGACUCCUACGGGAGGCAGCAGUAAGGAAUAUUGGUCAAUGGGCGGAAGCCUGAACCAGCCAUGCCGCGUGCAGGAUGACUGCCCUAUGGGUUGUAAACUGCUUUUGUCCAGGAAUAAACCCAGAUACGUGUAUCUGGCUGAAUGUACUGGAAGAAUAAGGAUCGGCUAACUCCGUGCCAGCAGCCGCAGUAACAC
rnacentral:rRNA from 1 species